UUGAGUUUGAUCCUGGCUCAGUAUGAACGCGGGCUGUAUGCCUAAUACAUGCAAGUCGAACGGUCCUUAGGGACUGUGGCGGACGGGUGAGUAACGCGUGAGAACCUGCUUUCAGGACGGCGAUAACAGAGGGACACCGCUGCUACUACCCGAUAUGCCGAAAGGUGAAACAGAAUCUGCCUGGAGAAGAGCUCGCGUCUGAUUAGCUAGUUGGAGAGGUAAGAGCUCACCAAGGCGACGAUCAGUAGCUGGUCUGAGAGGAUGAGCAGCCACACUGGGACUGAGACACGGCCCAGACUCCUACGGGAGGCAGCAGUGGGGAACUGUCCGCAAUGUGCGAAAGCCUGACGGAGCAAUACCGCGUGAGAGAAGAAGGUCUAAUGAUUGUAAAUCUCUUUUCUCAAGGAAGAAGCAAGUGACGGUACUUGAGGAAUAGGCAUCGGUUAACUCCGUGCCAGCAGCCGCGGUAAGACGGAGGAUGCAAGCGUUAUCCGGAAUUAUUGGGCGUAAAGGGUCCGCAGGUGGCCUGUUACAAGUCUGCUGUCAAAGGUCGGAGCUUAACUCCGGGAAGGCAGUGGAAACUGUGAGGCUAGAGUCCGGUAGGGGUAGAGGGAAUUCCCAGUGUAGCGGUGAAAUGCGUAGAGAUUGGGAAGAACACCAGUGGCGAAGGCGCUGUACUGGGCCGGAACUGACACUGAGGGACGAAAGCUAGGGGAGCGAAAGGGAUUAGAUACCCCGUAGUCCUAGCUUAAACGAUGAACAGCAGCGUCACACUUCCUG
rnacentral:rRNA from 1 species